AGUGAACGCUGGCGGUAGGCCUAACACAUGCAAGUCGAACGGCAGCACAGUAAGAGCUUGCUCUUACGGGUGGCGAGUGGCGGACGGGUGAGGAAUACAUCGGAAUCUACUUUUUCGUGGGGGAUAACGUAGGGAAACUUACGCUAAUACCGCAUACGACCUACGGGUGAAAGCAGGGGAUCUUCGGACCUUGCGCGAUUGAAUGAGCCGAUGUCGGAUUAGCUAGUUGGCGGGGUAAAGGCCCACCAAGGCGACGAUCCGUAGCUGGACUGAGAGGAUGAUCAGCCACCCGGGAACUGGGACACGGUCCAGACUCCUACGGGAGGCAGCAGUGGGGAAUGUUGGGCAAUGGGCGCAAGCCUGAUCCAGCCAUACCGCGUGGGUGAAGAAGGCCUUCGGGUUGUAAAGCCCUUUUGUUGGGAAAGAAAAGCAGCAGGUUAAUACCCCGCUGUUCUGACGGUACCCAAAGAAUAAGCACCGGCUAACUUCGUG
rnacentral:rRNA from 1 species